CAAAUUAAAAGUGACUAAGUAAAGUUCUUAAACUUAAGAAUUCACUUUUUACAUUUUCUUAGUUUAUUUUAGUUGCUAAUGUUAUUAUGCUCUUGUCUUAUUUAAAUAUAAUAUAUCUUUAAAAAAUUGAAUUUCUUUUACUGUUUUAUUAAGUUAACUAUCAAAACUAAUUAAAAAUAUUUAUAUUAUAAUUUUAUUUAAAAAUUAAUGGACUAAUAUAUUAAUCUAUUAAAUGUUUUCACCGUUUACAAAAUUAUAAGUUUUUAAAAAAGGAAACAAAAAGUGAAAGCAUAUCCAGAGAACAUAAGAAAAUAUUAAAACUUUAGUAACACACUUAAUAAGUUACAAAAUCUUACCAAAAGUUUAGUAAGAAUCCUAAUAAGUUAUAACAAAAGUUUUGGUAAGACUUUGGAAAGUUUUUGUAAGACUAUUUAACUUAUUAAGAGUUACUAAAGUCUUAAUAUUUGUUUCAUGUUCUCUGCUUUCACUUUUUGUUUUAAUAUUUUUAAUAUUUAGUGAACAAAGCUGAUUGCUUUUUGAAUUAAAGAUUGGACCUUUCGAGCAUUGAAUAUGUUUAUAGAUCGUAUAGAGUUAUAGACUUAUAGUUACAUGGAGGAGUCACAAUGUGACGGUAUUGGUGGCCACCAUGUGAGCAAGAUCUCAGUUUGAUCUUCGUUUCUUUGCUAAACAACAGACUACAUUUUGUUUUCUAGUACAUAAUCUCGUUUAAGGGUCAAUCUCCUUUUAUAGCAUUUUCUUUUGUUUUGUAAUCGAUACAUGUGUCUUAGUUUCGACAUGAUCUUGUUCAAAGGUCAUCUCUCAAAUUCACAUAAGCUCAGGCUAUACGCACAAUCUUGUUGAAGAAACUGAAGACGCGUGUGAUCAAUAGUAACUGUAAUCCAGUGUGGAACGAACAACUGACCCUUUCCAUUAAACAUCUGGAUGAUCCAAUCCGUCUGAUAAAGACUGAUUCUCGGGAGAUGACAAAAUGGGUGAUGCGGAAAUAGGCAUAAGUCCUUUCUUAGAAGCCCAUCAGAUGGAGUUAAGAUUUACAUGCAAUCAAGAGGAUCCGUCCAGGAGGGACCAACUGUUUGGCUGAAGAGAGCAGCAUCACUUGGAACAAUGGGGAAGGUCAAACAAGACACGAUUCUUAGACUAAAGAAUGGGGAGCGUGGAGAAAUGGAGAUCAUGCUCGAGUGGACUGAUGGUCCAGGCUACAAGGAUCUCAUGAUCCAAGAAGACACCAUGGAUGCAACUAAGCGAUUGGACUAAGGUGCAGAAAUGUUCAAGAGAGACCUUGAAGAUGUGGUUGUUAUUUUCUUCUUCUCCUCAUGGAAAGACAAGUUUGCCUUUAUUUCUGCUUUGGUCUUUAGCUGUACAUGUUGAAUAUAAAACAACCCGUUAUAUAUGUACAUUUGUAUAUGUUUCUACUAUUGAAAAAUUGAAGCAAACUUUCUAGAAACUCUUCAAGUUUUUCUUAGUUUCUGCUAAUGAAUAUGUAUAUAUAUUGUUGGACGAAGCACAAAAAUUAAAGGUCAACGAUGUUGACUUUCCUCCACUGUCAAGAUAGGAGAUGCACAGAUAGACAUCAAGCCGUUCCCUUAAGAUUCACAAAUUGGGUUGGCAGAGAUCAAGACAGUCUAAAGAGAGCAAAAUCGUCUACCAUAAUGGCAAUAUCGUUCAUGACAUUGAUUCUUUUGUCGAGGAACGUUGAAUGUGGUGGUAAAGGACUCUGAGAGACAGAGAUUGACGUAUUCUGAUGAUUCAUAUAUCAUGAUGACUUCUCAUUUACCGUAUACAAGAAACGGUCUCAAGUUCUUUACCAAGAGAGGAGGAUUAACGUUUUCUGAAGUGGAGAAGAUACUAUGUGAUUUAGCUGCAUUAAAGUACGCAAAUAGACAGUCUAAAGUCGCGCUUACUCUAAGCACCUUAGAUAAACUAUUUAAGAGAGAAUCAAUCACUAUGAUACUCCUCUCAAAGGAUUUAAGGCAAGAGUCUAGCUUUAUAAGAUCUCCCUGCUUUAAUGUUUCUAUACAUAUUAUAACGUUCUUUUUUUUUUGUUAGAUAGUAGUGAAUGCUGGUAAUGGGUCAGGAGGGUUCUUUACGUGGGACGUUCUAGACAAGUUAGGAUCUGAUACAUUCUGUUCACUCUAUCUUAACCCAGAUUGGAUGUUCCCUAUCGAUUGAUUAGUUUAUGCGACUUAUAAUAAUUAGUACGGAUAUAGGAAGUACAGUAGUGACGAAUGCAAUAACGAGUAUGGGGCUCACUAGGUUUAUAACGGAGAGAGGAGGGAGACAUUGUUUGUACAGAGUAGGGUAUAGAAACGUGAUCGACAAAGGAGUAGAGUUGAACAGAGAUGGCAUCGAGACACAUCUCAUGAGUCAUUAUGGAGACUUCAAGACAUGGUGCUGUUACAGAGAACCACUACUUGGAUGAUGGUUAGUUAAUUAUGAUGUAGGCCACAAUGGUUUAUUUGCAUGUGUGUUCCACGUAAACGCAAAUAAACAAUCAUGGAUCAAAUCCUCUUUUGUUCUUAUGGGUUUAUGGUGAUAUAUGGUUAUUAAUAUUAUAAUCUUCUAAUGUUUUUAGCUGCAUACAUAGUGGUGAAAAUUAUGAUUGAAAUGGUGAGAAUGAGACUUGCCGGAUCAAAUGAAUGUAUAGAUAGUCUGAUCAAAGAUCUUAAGGAGCCGUUAGAAGCGCUUGGGCUGCGGAUGAAUAUUUUGUCAAAGCCAAGAGAUGCAAUAGGAAAAGGCAUUGAAGCUAUUGCGACAUUCAGUCAAUAUAUCGAGGUAUCAUAGCUUUAUUAGUAAUCCGAUUAGUUGUGGAUGUAGCUUUAAAUUUCAGAGUUAUAAUUUAAAUGGUUAUUAGGAAGUAAAACUAAAAGGAUGGGAACUAGACUCGUGUGGAGAAUGUUGGGUAAUUGAAGGUUGCAUAAUGGACUCAAAUGAUCAUCAAUCUGCCAUUGAUGCUCACAUGUACAGGUAAUUUAUUUUGUUUACAGAUUCCAUAUAUCAUAUGAUGAUAUUAGAAAUUCAACUUAUUAAUUUACAUAAAUAAUAAUUCAGGGUAAAGGUGAGGGAUGAAGAGAGUGGGGAAUAGUAUGGGUGGGUGCACCGUGCACAUAAGGCAGAGCAUUCAUAUCCCUAACAUUGCUCUUAGUAUGCAAUCAAUGCUUUCUGGUGGAUGUCUCUUCAUGACAAGACUCUUCAGAGACUUGUAACUUUUUCAUUCUUCAUAAUUCUAAUAAUAAGUCUUACUCCGAAUUUGAAGAACUUAAUGUUCAAAUGUUUUUUUUGUUGUUGUUGACAACGUUACAGUGGAUUUACGUUUGCUUGAUUCAGGUUUUCGGAAUCUGGUGGGAUGGCUAGAUUCUUGGAUAUAAGUGAUUUCAGACAAUUACAUUGGAAUUCAACCUUAAGACUUUUCAGGUAAAUUGAACUUGGGAUGUUAACUACGUAGUUGUUGCCUACAUUAGAGAAAAGUAGAGAUACAUCACUCUUGCAUGUUAACUACAUGCAAGUCUUUGAAGUCUCCACAAUGGUUUAUUGAUCAAGGGGAGAAUUAAAUAGAGUUAACGUUUUAGAAGUCCACGGCAUUUUUUUAAUUAAUGAAAUUAAGCUUGUGAUGUUAACUACAUAAUAUUAUUAAAUUGAGGGAUGUUGCCAUGAAUAACAUAUACUUCGUGUAGUUAAGCAUACAUUAGUUUAGUCUGCAUAGUUAAUUAUGUGAUGGUCAAUACUUCAAGUAACCACCAAUUAUUUUUCCUAUUUAAAUUUUAAUUAGAAAUUUAAAAUUUGGCAUAUUAUUAGAUUUCAAAGCUCUACCUUUAUUCAAGGGACAAUAGAGUAUAAAAACUGUUUUUGUUAUUACAUAAUUUUAAAUUUUUAUUCUAUAAUCUCUAUAAAUUAUCAAGAAAUAUUAUUUUUUUAAUUUUAAAUUUAUGUUGAUUGUAUUGUCAACAUUCACUUAACUUAUGUAGAGCAUCUAAAAAAAAAACAUUAUUUUGAAGUUUCCAAAACU